AUUUGCGGCCAAGCUACGAAGGGUGUAUGGUGGAUGUCUUGGCGCCAAAAGUCGAAGAAGGACGUUGCAGGCUGCGAUAAGCUCCGGGAAGCUGCCAAGCAAGCCUUGAUCCGGAGAUGUCCGAAUGGGGAAACCCGUCCUGAGCAAUCGGGACAUCUGCGUCUGAAUCCAUAGGGCGCAGAAGACAACGGAGGGAAGUGACACAUCUCAGUACCUCCAGGAGAAGAGAAAGGGAAUUGACUUCCUUAGUAGCGGCGAGCGAAAAGGAACCAGCCCAAACCGAAUCCGCGUGAUAGCCCUGCGCGUUGCGGGUUCGGGGUAGCGGGAAGCGCAUUCGACGGCGAGCAGGAGCCGUCGGAGGAGUUACAAAGGCCAAUUCUAGCUGAACGUUUCUGGAAAGUCCGGCCACAGAGGGUGACAGCCCCGUAGGCGAAAGAAACGGCCCUCCUUUUGCGUUCUCCCAAGUAUUGCCAGUCUCGUGAAACCUGGCAUGAAUCCGGCCUGACCACGGGCUAAGGCUAAGUACUCAUUGGCGACCGAUAUCGCACAAGUAGCGCGAGCGAAAGAUGAAAAGUACCCCUGUUAGGGGAGUGAAAUAGUACCUGAAACCAUGCACUUACAAGCUGUCGGAGCCCUAUGCCCCGAGGCAACUCGGGGAACGGGUGACGGCGUGCCUGUUGAAAAAUGAACCGGCGAGUUACCGUACGUUGCGAGGCUAAUCCGCUCAGCGGAGCAGCCGCAGCGAAAGCGAGUGCGAAACGCGCGACCAGUAAUGUGCGGUAAACCCGAAACGACGUGAUCUACCCUUGGCCAGGGCGAAGUUCACCGAAAGGUGGAUGGAGGCCCGAACGCACUUGCGUUGAAAAGCGAGGCGAUGAGCUGAGGGUAGGAGUAAAAGGCUAAUCAAACGUCGUGAUAUCUGGUUCUCCCCGAAAUAGCUUUAGGGCUAGCCUUGUGUGAUCCGCAGCGGUGGUAGAGCACUGAAUGAGUUUUGGGGUCCACCAGACUACCGAACUCAAUCAAACUCCGAAUACCGCUGUGUGCAACACAGGAGUCAGACGGUGGGGGAUAAACUCCAUCGUCAAAAGGGAAACAGCCCAGACUGCCAGCUAAGGCCCCUAAAAGAGCCUAAGUGCUCAAAGGAAGUGAGAGCGCUAGGACAGCUAGGAUGUUGGCUUAGAAGCAGCCAUCAUUUAAAAAGUGCGUAACAGCUUACUAGUCGAGCGCUUUCGCGCCGAUAAUACUCGGGACUAAGGCUCUUGCCGAAGCUGCGGACGUUCGGUCACCUGUCUGCCAGGGUCCAGUGGGCGGAUUGGCGAACAGGCGAACUUGCGAAUGAGCGGACGAAACCCCAUUCGCAGAUUCGCUGAUUCGCGUAUUCGCAUAUUCGCUCACUCGAUCCUGGCAGCGGAGGACCGAGCAUGGUAGGGGAGCGUUCUACAUCAGGUUGAAGGCAGACCGUGAGGACUGCUGGACGAAGUAGAAGUGCUUAUGCCGGUACGAGUAGCGAUAAGGUGGGUGAGAAUCCCACCAGCCGAAAGCCUAAGGUUUCCUGGGGAAGGUAAAUCCGCCCAGGGUUAGUCGGGACCUAAGUCGAGGCUGAAAGGCGUAGACGAUGGACAGCAGGUUAAUAUUCCUGCACCGCCUGCGUAGCGUCCGAACAGAAGAGGUGACGGAGACGCGAGGACCAUGCCGGGUUGCUAGUGUGUCCCGCCUCUGGCCCGAGGGCGCGCUGUAGGGAAAUCCGCAGCGCUGCCGCUCACGGCGAAUUGAAACGCCCGGAGGUCGGAGUGAGCCCAUCAGGGCAAAAUGGUCUGACCGUCUUCCACGAAAAGCCCCGUCUGUGAGCGAAACAGGCGCCCGUACUAAAACUGACACAGGUAGGCGAGGAGAAUAUCCUCAGGCUCUCGAGAGAACCCUCGUUAAGGAACUCGGCAAAUUAGCUCCGUAACUUCGGGAUAAGGAGCGCCUUCUCAAACGCGUUGAUCACUCGAUGCGGGCGAGGAGGCCGCAGAGAAAUGGCCCAGGCGACUGUUUACUAAAAACACAGGUCUGUGCGAAGACUUACGUCGCAGUAUACAGACUGACGCGUGCUCGAUGCCAGAAAGUUAAGGGAAGGGGUUAUCCGCCGCAAGGCGGAGAAGCUCUGAACCGAAGCUCUGGUGAAUGGCGGCCGUAACUAUGACGGUCCUAAGGUAGUAGCAUGCUGCCUGCCCCGACGGCAACGUCGGGGGCAAUACCUGGCUAUAUGCGGGAACGGCCUUAGAGCCCAACCUACGAGUCGCUCACUGGCGACCGUAACAAUGGAAGGGAUUGGCCAAUCCGCAGGAAACCCUGGUCAACUCCAGGGGAUCCUCAGAGACCACACGCCAGGUAUCCGCCUGGAGAUGCUCAUGGACCUCAGUCCAGAGUGGGUCGUGGGGUUCGUGGACGGCGAAGGUUGCUUCCACGUCAGCCUUCAAGCGCACCCUGAGAUGACCGCGGGCUACCAAGUCGUGCCCGAGUUCGUGGUUGUCCAACACGUUCGAGACGUGCAAGUGCUGCACGCGCUCAAGCGAUUCUUCCGAUGCGGCGUCGUUCGGCUGAAUCACGAAGAUCGCUGGGCGUUCCGAGUGCGAAGGCUCGACAAUCUCAAUCAAAUCUGCGCCUUCUUCGAAAACCACCCGCUCAAGACGAAGAAGCACACGGACUUUCAGAAGUUCCGAACCAUUCUUCGUCUCAUGAGCGAGAAACGACACCUCACACGGGCUGGGCUGGUCGAGAUCGCCGAUAUAGCGCUCUCGAUGAACACAGCCAGCCGCCCCGUGCUGGAAAAGGUCCGGGAGCAGCUCCAGGCCGGAUAAAGAUAUGGUCCACACCGGCGGGAAACCGACGGGCCAAUGUGAGCGAAGUUCCUUGUCGGGUAAGUUCCGACCUGCAUGAAUCGCGUAACGACUUGGGCUCUGUCUCAACGAGGGACUCGGCGAAACUGUAGUAGUGGUCAAGAUGCCACCUACCCGCGCCAAGACGAAAAGACCCCGUGAACCUUUACUGCACCCUACUAUUGGGUUUUGGCCUGACAUGUGUAGGAUAGGUGGGAGACGAUGAAGCUCCGGCGCUAGCUGGAGCAGAGUCAACCUUGAAAUACCACCCUUGUUACGUUAAAAUUCUAACCAGGUUCCGUGAAUCCGGACUUGGGACAUUGGUAGGCGGGCAGUUUAACUGGGGCGGUUUCCUCCCAAAAUGUAACGGAGGAGUCCAAAGGCUUCCUCAGUGCGGUUGGCAAUCGCACGAAGAGCGUAAGGGUACAAGGAAGCUUAACUGCGAGACCCAAUGCGUCAAGCAGGUGUGAAAGCAGGGCCUAGUGAUCCGGCGGAUUCCAUGUGGAAGGGCCGUCGCUCAACAGAUAAAAGGUACUCUGGGGAUAACAGGCUGAUCGCUCCCGAGCGUCCAUAGCGGCGGAGCGGUUUGGCACCUCGAUGUCGACUCAUCGCAUCCUGGAGCUGGAGAAGGUUCCAAGGGUUCGGCUGUUCGCCGAUUAAAGCGGUACGUGAGUUGGGUUUAGACCGUCGUGAGACAGGUCGGUCUCUAUCUGGCGUGGGUGCACGAUACCUGCGGGUUUCUACCUUCAGUACGAGAGGACCAUGGUAGACGGACCUAUGGUGUAUCAGUUGUCCUGCUAAGGGCACGGCUGAGUAGCUACGUCCGGAACGGAUAAACGCUGAAAGCAUAUAAGCGUGAAGCCCCAUCCAAGACUGGGUAUCGAGAUUGAUCCGCGGGCGCCGCAAGGCGUCCAACGAUCCGAGAGGCACCUCGUAGACUACGAGGUUGAUAGGCCAGAGGUGUAAGUCCGGUAACGGAUUGAGCUGACUGGUACUAAUUGGCCGAAUGCUUGGCCGCAUUU
rnacentral:rRNA from 1 species